AGUGAACGCUGGCGGUAGGCCUAACACAUGCAGGUCGAACGGCAGCACAGUAAGAGCUUGCUCUUACGGGUGGCGAGUGGCGGACGGGUGAGGAAUACAUCGGAAUCUACUUUUUCGUGGGGGAUAACGUAGGGAAACUUACGCUAAUACCGCAUACGACCUACGGGUGAAAGCUGGGGAUCUUCGGACCUUGCGCGAUUGAAUGAGCCGAUGUCGGAUUAGCUAGUUGGCGGGGUAAAGGCCCACCAAGGCGACGAUCCGUAGCUGGUCUGAGAGGAUGAUCAGCCACACUGGAACUGAGACACGGUCCAGACUCCUACGGGAGGCAGCAGUGGGGAAUAUUGGACAAUGGGCGCAAGCCUGAUCCAGCCAUACCGCGUGGGUGAAGAAGGCCUUCGGGUUGUAAAGCCCUUUUGUUGGGAAAGAAAAGCAGCAGGUUAAUACCCCGCUGUUCUGACGGUACCCAAAGAAUAAGCACCGGCUAACUUCGUG
rnacentral:rRNA from 1 species